AAACUUUUAACAACGGAUCUCUUGGUUCUGGCAUCGAUGAAGAACGCAGCGAAAUGCGAUAAGUAAUGUGAAUUGCAGAAUUCAGUGAAUCAUCGAAUCUUUGAACGCACAUUGCGCCCGGCAGCAAUCUGCCGGGCAUGCCUGUCCGAGCGUCAUUU
rnacentral:rRNA from 6 species